AGGGUAAGGGUAAUGUCUCCACAAGCCUGCCCCUGCCCUCUCAGGUAGACUGGGCUGGAAUGGCUCAGCACCCUGCCCACCAUUAGAAAUAUGGCAGGCAAGAGUUGCUGAAGGUCUGAGGUCCAAACAGCAUUUACACUUGCCUAUGAAGACCCGUGCUGCCAUGAAGCUGUCUACUGAUGCAGGCUCUUCUUCCCACCCAUUCAUCCUGUACAGCACUUGGUGGGCCUUUUCAAACUGCAUUUCCCAGGUGGCUCAGUGGUAAAGAACCCACCUGCCAAUGCAGAGGACACAGGUUCAACCCCUGGUCCGGGAAGACAUCGCAGAUACCCACAGAGCAAAUAAGUUCGUGGGCCACCACUACUGAGCCUGCGCUCUAGAGCCCAGGAACUGAAAUUAUUGAGCCCACGUGGUCUAGAGCCCCGUGCUCCCCAACAAGAGAAGUCAUCGCAACGAGAAG